CUUAGCAUAUCAAUAAGCGGAGGAAAAGAAACCAACCGGGAUUACCUCAGUAACGGCGAGUGAAGCGGUAACAGCUCAAAUUUGAAAUCUGGCUUCGGUCCGAGUUGUAAUUUGUAGAAGAUGCUUCGGGUGUGACUCCGGUCUAAGUUCCUUGGAACAGGACGUCAUAGAGGGUGAGAAUCCCGUAUGUGACUGGCUGCCUUCGCCUAUGUGAAGCUCUUUCGACGAGUCGAGUUGUUUGGGAAUGCAGCUCAAAAUGGGUGGUAUAUUUCAUCUAAAGCUAAAUAUUGGCCAGAGACCGAUAGCGCACAAGUAGAGUGAUCGAAAGAUGAAAAGCACUUUGGAAAGAGAGUUAAACAGUACGUGAAAUUGUUGAAAGGGAAGCGUUUGCAAUCAGACUUGCACGUUGCCGAUCAUCUGGUGUUCUCACCAGUGCACUCGGUUUCGUUCAGGCCAGCAUCGGUUUGGGUGGUUGGAUAAAGGCCUUGGGAAUGUAGCUUCUUUCGGGGAGUGUUAUAGCCCUCGGUGCAAUGCAGCCUACCUGGACCGAGGACCGCGCUUCGGCUAGGAUGCUGGCGUAAUGAUUGUAAACGACCCGUCUUGAAACACGGACCAAGGAGUCUAACAUCUAUGCGAGUAUUUGGGUGUUAAACCCAUAUGCGUAAUUAACGUGAACGGAGGUAAGAGCCCUUAAGGGUGCAUUAUCGACCGGUCCUGAUGUCUUCGGAAGGAUCUGAGUAAGAGCAUAGCUGUUGGGACCCGAAAGAUGGUGAACUAUGCCUGAAUAGGGUGAAGCCAGAGGAAACUCUGGUGGAGGCUCGCAGCGGUUCUGACGUGCAAAUCGAUCGUCAAAUUUGGGUAUAGGGGCGAAAGACUAAUCGAACCAUCUAGUAGCUGGUUCCUGCCGAAGUUCCCCUCAGGA
rnacentral:rRNA from 1 species